rnacentral:lncRNA from 1 species
GAGGAUGCAUGAUAAAUGGUAUAGGUACACGUAUUUAAUUAUUCUCCGCCAUUAUGUCUUCCCAAAAAAUCUCUCUCCUCCAUUUUCGCCUUUCAUAUGCACCACCAAGACAGCUACAACCGACGACCCUCUCUUUGCAAAGUAUUCCCCUUUCCCGCAUCUCUCCCCUCUCUCCCCCCAUCUAUUUCCUCUAUCUCUCCUAUCUUUCUCAGUCUUUUCCUCUUUUUUCUUCUUUGUGCAUUCCUCUCGUCACCGACGACCUUGCCAAAGAUAAUGCCUUCUCUCUCCUCUUUCUACUUUUCUCCCUCUCCCUGUCAUUCCCCUCCGUGUGUGUAGGUGGGUGAGUGUUCCGGCUAGUCCCAGGGCAAAUUGUCUCCUGCACGAGAUCUAGUCACUCACUGGUGCAUGAGCACUAACUUAGUCAACUUUCGGGAUUGAUUUGGCAUCACUAGUGGUCGCCUCCUCAACUAGAAUUAUCCUAUUAGACUUCUACCCAGUGCCUACAUGAAACCAACAAUAAAUGGUAGCUGCGGUUCAGUCACUCUGGUCAACUUGGUCAGCGACCGUCAUUCAGGGGUUCUUUACUGCCAAUGAGUGGUUGCACCGGUCGUCGUUCCCAACUAGAAUCUAGGUUCUAUCUUUCUUGCCUUUUUAUAUUUUGUUUAUCAAUUGAUUGUUUAUCUUUGUUGUACAUUUCGUUUCUGAUGUACUCUUUAAAUCUGUUGUUUUGUUCCUAGUGUAUUAUUGUUUUAUUACAUUAUGUUUUCGAUAUAUUCUGUUAUAACUUGUUGCUUUGUUCCGAA